UACGUAGGGUGCGAGCGUUGUCCGGAAUUAUUGGGCGUAAAGAGCUCGUAGGCGGCUCGUUGCGUCGGCUGUGAAAACCCGCAGCUCAACUGUGGGCUUGCAGCCGAUACGGGCGGGCUGGAGUUCGGUAGGGGAGACUGGAAUUCCUGGUGUAGCGGUGAAAUGCGCAGAUAUCGUGAGGAACACCAGAGGCGAAGGCGGUUUCCUGGACAGUUACUGACGCUCAGGCACGAAAGCAUGGGGAGCAAAAGGG
rnacentral:rRNA from 1 species